rnacentral:rRNA from 1 species
GUGGGGAAUAUUGGACAAUGGGGGAAACCCUGAUCCAGCGACGCCGCGUGUGUGAAGAAGGCCUGCGGGUUGUAAAGCACUUUCGGUGGGAACGAAAUGUGCCGACCUAAUACGUCGGUAAGCUGACGUUACUCAAUGAAGAAGCACCGGCUAACUCUGUGCCAGCAGCCGCGGUAAUACAGAGGGUGCAAGCGUUAAUCGGAAUUACUGGGCGUAAAGCGCACGUAGGCGGCUAUAUAAGUCGGAUGUGAAAUCCCCGGGCUUAACCUGGGAACCGCAUUCGAGACUGCAUAGCUAGAGUACUGGAGAGGACAGCGGAAUUCCCGGUGUAGCGGUGAAAUGCGUAGAUAUCGGGAGGAACAUCAGUGGCGAAGGCGGCUGUCUGGCCAAGUACUGACGCUCAGGUGCGAAAGCGUGGGGAGCAAACAGGAUUAGAAACCCGGGUAGUCC